ACCCUCGUGGAUCAAUGGGAGAUCCUCUGCGAACGAUGUCGAACCAUCAAUGUUCAGCGGGACGUUGUGGGUUCGACUCCCACCGAGGGCA